CCCCAUCACCCGCAGCAAUAUCUCCACACUGUAUACUGUACACUUAACUCCAAAUAUUGACAAGUCACAAAUGGUGUAAUUGGAGGGGUCAUUUCUAAAGGGCUAAUAAUGAAAUGAUUCCAAGACGAGUUCUUGAAAAACUGCAGAAUUCGAGGUGAUUUGCCCAGCAGAAUGUACAGGUUAAAGGGGCACUAUUACCACCAAGACCACUUCAUCUCACUGAUGUGUCUCAAUCAAGGGGUCUAGGUGCCAUGUCCCCCUCAUUUUAACCAGUGAACUUUGCCAUACUGCAG